rnacentral:rRNA from 1 species
AUGUGAUCGUCUCUCGCAUAUCAAUAAGCGGAGGAAAAGAAACUAACAAGGAUUCCCCUAGUAUCGGCGAGUGAAGCGGGAAGAGCUCAAAUUUGAAAUCUUAAAGGGUUUCCCUUUACGAAUUGUAGUUUAAAGAAGUGUUUUCUGUUGAGGUUUUGGUAAAAGUUCUUUGGAAUAGGACAUCAUAGAGGGUGAGAAUCCCGUAUUUGACCUUUACUUUCAACUUUGUGAUACACUUUCAAAGAGUCGGAUUGUUUGGGAAUGCAGUCCAAAAUGGGUGGUAAAUUUCAUCUAAAGCUAAAUAUUGGCGAGAGACCGAUAGCGAACAAGUACCGUGAGGGAAAGAUGAAAAGAACUUUGAAAAGAGAGUUAAACAGUACGUGAAAUUGUCAAAAGGGAAGCGUUUGACACCAGUGUUGUUUUUCUGAAAAUCAAUUAAAGAACUGUUUAUGCUAAGUUGUUUAGACUUUAUCAGCUAACUGUUUAGUUUUGAGCUUUUCUUUAAUGCACUUUUCAGUUAACAAGUCAACAUCAAUUUCUUUUGCUGUAAAAAAGCUUGAGGAAGGUGGCUUGAGAUUCGUCUUAAGUGUUUAUAGCCUCUUGCCUAUGCAGUCGGAGAGAUUGAGGUCUGCAGCGUAGAUCCUUCGGGGCUAAAUGCAUUUGUGCUAAGUUAUAGCAUUUUAUAGACAACUUGUUGACUAUGAUUUGUCUUGUAGCUUACUCGCUUAUGUUAUUUUACCUACGCUUAGGAUGUUGAUCUACAGAGCGAGAGU